CACCCUGCCAGGACCAGGGCCAGGACAGCCACGUAUCACCUCCCCGCUCAGGCCCCGGGAGCGCAGACCUUGGGCAGCCCGCGCGCCGCCGCCUUACCUGUCAGCUGCGCGGCCAGGAGGAGCCACAGCCGCGGCCGCAUCGGGGCGCGCCCGGGACACCUGGCCCCGGGGGCUCGGCGGAGACAGUCGCGGCUGGGUUUUGAGUCUGGAAGCUGACCAGAAUGUGUUUGAAGUCAUACAGAAAUAAUGUUGAUAUUUGGAACCCAUGACGAACUUCUAUGAAGAAAGGACAACGAUGAUUGCAGCCAGGGAUUUGCAGGAAUUUGUUCCUUUUGGUGGAGACCACUGCAAGCACCACCCUAAUGCUUUGAACCUUCAACUUCGCCAGCUGCAGCCAGCUUCAGAAUUAUGGUCUUCUGAUGGUGCUGCUGGCUUGGUGGGAUCCCUUCAGGAGGUUACAAUCCACGAGAAACAGAAGGAAAACUGGCAGUUAAGGAAAGGAGUAAGUGAAAUUGGAGAAGAUGUGGACUAUGAUGAGGAACUCUAUGUUGCUGGAAAUAUGGUGAUAUGGAGCAAAGGAAGUAAAAGCCAGGCAUUGGCAGUUUAUAAAGCAUUUACAGUUGACAGUCCUGUUCAGCAGGACCCUCUAAUGGCCUCUAAGUUUUCAAAUGAAGGGAAGAAUCACAAGUUUCUCACUUUACAUCAAAAACUAGAAAUGAUUAAGCUUCGUGAGGAAGGCGUGUUGAAAGCUGAGAUAGGUUGAGAGCCAGACCACCUGUGCACAAGAGCCAACUUGCGCAUGCAGAGGAAAAGCUCUCGAAGGAAAUUAAAAGUGCUAUUUCAGUGAACAUGGCAACUGAUAAAGCGAAACAGCCUUAUCGCUGAUAUGAAGAAAGUUUUAGUGUCUGGACAGAAGAUCAAACCAGCCAUAACAUUCCCUUAUGCUGAAGUCGAAUCCACAGCAAGGCCCUAACUCUCUUUAAUUCUGUGACGGCCAAGAAAGGUGAAGAAGCUGCAGACGAAAAGUUGUAAGCUAACAGAGGUUGAUUCUUGAGGUUUAAGGAAAAAAGCCCUCUCUAUAACACAAAAGUGCAAGGUGAAGCAGCAUGUGCUGAUGUAGAAGCUGCUAAGAUAAUUGAUGCAGGUGGCUACACUAAACAGAUUUUCAGUGUGGAUGAAACAGCUUUCUGUUGGAAGAAGAUGCCAUCUAGGACUUUCAUAACCUGAGAGGAGAAGUCAGUGCCUGGCUUCAAAGGACAGUCUGACCCUCUUGUUAGGGGCUAAUGCAGCUGGUGACUUAAAGUUGAAGCCCGUGCUCAUUUACCAUUUCAAAAAUCUUAGGGCCCUUAAGAAUUAUACCAAGUCUGCUCUGCCUGGGCUCUAUAAAUGGAGCGACAAAGACUGGAUGGCAGCACACCUGUUUAUAGCAUGGUUUACUGAAUGUGUCAAGCCCACUGUUGAGACGUAUUGCUCAGAAAAAAGAUUCCUUUCAAAAUAUUACCGCUCAUUGACAGUGCACCUGGUCAUCUAAGAGCUCUGAGGGAGAUGUACAGGAGAUGAAUGUUGUUUUCAUGCCUGCUGACAUAUCUGUUCUGCAGCCUGUGAAGGAGUAAUUUUGACUUUCAAGUCUUACUAUGAAAUACAUUACUUAACUAGAGCUGCCAUAGAUAGUGAUUCCUCUAAGAGAUCUGGCAAAGUCCAUUGAAAACCUUCUGGGCCGGGUGCGGCAGCUCACGCCUGUAAUCCUAGCACUUUGGGAGGCCGAGGCAGGUGGAUCACGAGGUCAGGAGAUCGAGACCACCCUGGCUAACACAGUGAAACCCUGUGUCUACUAAAAGUACAAAAAAUUAGCCGGGCGUGGUGGCGUGUGCCUGUAGUUCCAGCUACUCGGGAGGCUGAGGCAGGAGACUGGCAUGAACCCAGGAGGCAGAGCUUGCAGUGAGCCGAGAUUGCGCCACUGCACUCCAGCCUGGGCAACAGAGGGAGACUCCAUC